UUGGUGUGAGGAAACAGUCGGUAUGGCUCGCGUAUAAGGAGAAAGCCACUUAGCUUUGACAUACUCGGCUUUUCUCCACGGUGGAAUAUGCAUGCCCUUCUUCUUGAGGCUCUGCCUCGCUGCAUUUGAUACGACAGAUACGAUCUUCUGGAGGCGAUCGGCUUUCCCCACAAAGAUGUGGGGUAGAGAUUGGAGGAGAGAUUUGUAGGCCUUGGUUGAUCGAGC
rnacentral:misc_RNA from 1 species